rnacentral:rRNA from 1 species
GACGAACGCUGGCGGCGUGCUUAACACAUGCAAGUCGAACGGAAAGGCCUCCACCUUGGUGGGGGUGCUCGAGUGGCGAACGGGUGAGUAACACGUGGGUGAUCUGCCCUGUACUUCGGGAUAAGCUUGGGAAACUGGGUCUAAUACCGGAUAGGACCAUGGUUUAGUGUCUCAUGGUGGAAAGAUUUUUUGGUGCAGGAUGAGCUCGCGGCCUAUCAGCUUGUUGGUGGGGUAAUGGCCUACCAAGGCGUCGACGGGUAGCCGGCCUGAGAGGGUGGACGGCCACAUUGGGACUGAGAUACGGCCCAGACUCCUACGGGAGGCAGCAGUGGGGAAUAUUGCACAAUGGGCGCAAGCCUGAUGCAGCGACGCCGCGUGGGGGAUGACGGCCUUCGGGUUGUAAACUCCUUUCGUUAGGGACGAAGCCGCACCUUUUUUGGGUGUGGUGACGGUACCUUUGUUAAGAAGCACCGGCUAACUACGUGCCAGCAGCCGCGGUAAUACGUAGGGUGCGAGCGUUGUCCGGAAUUACUGGGCGUAAAGAGCUCGUAGGUGGUUUGUUGCGUCGUCUGUGAAAUUCCGGGGCUUAACUUCGGGGUGGCAGGCGAUACGGGCAUAACUAGAGUGCUGUAGGGGAGACUGGAAUUCCUGGUGUAGCGGUGGAAUGCGCAGAUAUCAGGAGGAACACCGAUGGCGAAGGCAGGUCUCUGGGCAGUAACUGACGCUGAGGAGCGAAAGCAUGGGGAGCGAACAGGAUUAGAUACCCUGGUAGUCCAUGCUGUAAACGGUGGGCGUUAGGUGUGGGGACCGGUUUGGUUUCUGUGCCGUAGCUAACGCAUUAAGCGCCCCGCCUGGGGAGUACGGCCGCAAGGCUAAAACUCAAAGGAAUUGACGGGGGCCCGCACAAGCGGCGGAGCAUGUGGAUUAAUUCGAUGCAACGCGAAGAACCUUACCUGGGUUUGACAUGCACCAGACGGUUGUAGAGAUACGUACCUCCCUUUGUGGUUGGUGUGCAGGUGGUGCAUGGUUGUCGUCAGCUCGUGUCGUGAGAUGUUGGGUUAAGUCCCGCAACGAGCGCAACCCUUGUCUUAUGUUGCCAGCACUUUGGGUGGGGACUCAUGAGAGACUGCCGGGGUUAACUCGGAGGAAGGUGGGGAUGACGUCAAAUCAUCAUGCCCUUUAUGCCCAGGGCUUCACACAUGCUACAAUGGUUAGUACAACGCGCUGCGAGCCUGUGAGGGUGAGCGAAUCGCUGAAAGCUAAUCUCAGUUCGGAUUGGGGUCUGCAACUCGACCCCAUGAAGUCGGAGUCGCUAGUAAUCGCAGAUCAGCAAUGCUGCGGUGAAUACGUUCCCGGGCCU